UCCGACCCCAGGAGCGUGGGCCGUGGGCGUCCGCGCAGACUCCGACCCCAGGAGCGUGGGCCGUGGGCGUCCGCUCAGACUCCGCCUCCAGGAGCGUGGGCCGUGGGCGUCCGCGCAGACUCCGCCCCCAGGAGCGUGGGCCGUGGGCGUCCGCUCAGACUCCGCCUCCAGGAGCGUGGGCCGUGGUCGUCGGCGCAGACUCCGCUCCCAGGAGCGUGGGCCGUGGGCGUCUGCACAGACUCCGCUCUCAGGAGCGUGGGCCGUGGGCGUCGGCGCAGACUCCGCUCUCAGGAGCGUGGGCCGUGGGCGCCUGCGCAGACUCCGCCCCCCAGGAGCGUGGGCCGUGGGCGUCGGCGCAGACUCCGCUCCCAGGAGCGUGGGCCGUGGGCGUCGGCGCAGACUCCGCUCUCAGGAGCGUGGGCCGUGGGCGUCGGCGCAGACUCCGCUCCCAGGAGCGUGGGCCGUGGGCGCCUGCGCAGACUCCGACCCCAGGACCGGCGCGGGGCCCCCGGAGAGAUACAGCCGCUUCCGGACUGCGGGGCUGCGCUGAGGGGAAUGUGAGGCCCGCGGGCCGGGGAGCGCCGUUCCGCUGGAGCUGAAGGAGGAGGCUGCCGGGAGCGGAGAAUGGCGUGAGAGAGGAUGGUCAUGUCCCAGGUCUCAGAUAUCUUCAGAUCAACCCUUCUUGAUCGGCAGAUCCAUGAAACUUGGAGAGCAGAGAAAUUUGUUCUAAGCAGCCUCUCUCCAUUGCCCUGUCGGGUUGUGCACUUCGAUUUAGAGAGAGGCUCUAUUGCAGAGGCCCCCAGGCCUGGUACUGAGGGCCGCCUCCAGACGAGGGCAGCGAGGAACUGAGGACCUCAGUCCAACAGCCCACAAGGAACUGAAGGCUGCCGACAACUGCUGGUGGCCCUGGAAGCAGACCCUUCCCCGGCCGAGCCUGCAGACCCUGGGUCAACAGCUUAACGGCGGCCUCGUGAGAGACCAGAGAAUCAGCUACGCCAUGUCCAGAUUUCCAGCACACAGGAACUGUGGUUGCUUUAACACGCUAUGUUUUGGGGUAAUUUGAUACUCAACAAUAAAUAAUGAAUAUGCAUGUUCAAUUAAAAAAUUGGUUCAAUAUCACAAAACAUUCCUUUUUAUGAUACAACUUUUAUUAUAGUGAAAAUAAUGUAGAUAACUUUUAUUAUAAUGUAGGUAAGCAAAGUGGAGUAUAUAUAUAAUGCUUUCUACUUAGAAAUAAUCCCUGUUAACCCUUGGUAAACCUGUCAGGCCUCUUUCACUGUGCACAUGGGGAAUGGUUUUGUUUUGCCUUGCAUUUGAUGUCACCUGAUUUCUUUCAGGAAUUUCUUCAAAUUCCUGUAUCAUUGGUAGUGCUUUUUAUAAAGGCAUGGACUUUGAUAAAAUAAAGUUGUUUAUGUCAUUGCUUAGGACUUGCAGUUGGUUGGAAGGCAGAUCCUUGUGUUUAGUCCUUGUUCUUGCUGGGGUUUUCUUUUCCUGGGUCUAGUCCUCCUAGGUUUCAGGGUAAUACUUGUGUCCAGCCUUCCUUCUGCCUCCUGAGGGUCUCCUUCUCAGCUCAGUCCAGGUGUGGUGGUCUGGUCUCCAUUGUUUGCCCUUCUUUUUCUGUUUACCUCUUGAAUAUGAGGGUUGUAUUUUGGACCUUUCCUGGUCAAAAUCUAUGGAUUCUCAGUGUUUGUCCUAUAGAUAUGGUUUAACACAGCAUUUCCCGAAGUAUGAGAUAUGAGCCACUUCUGGAAUGGGAGAUGAUUUUAGGGGGUUCAUGCUCAUACAGUUAACUAAAGUUGAAUCCUGUGAUGAGAACGUCAUGUCCAUGUCAAUGCUUUUUCUAUGCAGAUUACCUCCAGUUACACAUGAAACAGCUCCCUAAGACAGGCUAACCACACUUGGUGACAGAGAACGCACCUCUCAAGAGCAGAACUUUUAAGAAGCAAAGAUAUAAUUUAAUAACAUAGUAUUUAUUUUUAUAGUUAGCUUUUAUUUAUGGCGUGAUACUGACUUUCCAGUGAUGGUAGUAAUAUAAUUUUUUCUUCUAAGUUAAUGUAUUAAAGUGAAAAAAUAAAAUUUAUUUAAAGAAAAACUUUAAGCGCAUAAUAUCAAUAGUAUGUGACAGGCAGGUGGAAAAGAAUGGUGGCAGUAGGAGCUGUGGUAUAGAGUGCCACCAAGCUGAUACACAGGACACAGAGAUCUGGAAACCACCCCUGUAGCUUAAUCCUCAGUCGGUUUAUUUAAUGAUCGUCAAUGAGUGGAGCGUGAGUUCUGAAAUGCAGAGUAUGAAUACUGGUAAUGCAAAGAGUUACAGAGUGUUGUUAGAUGUAAGAGCACUGACUUGGAUUCUCCUAAGUGCCUCAGUGUCUCUGCUGGAGAAAUCUUGCAGGUGGUUCAAAGCAGCGGUUACCAAACUUCAGGGUCAGGACGUCAGAUUCACAUGGAAGACUUUCUAAAACACAGAUAAAGCCUUACAUCUCCAGAGUUUCCGAUUCAAUAGGGCCUAAGAGUUUGCAUUUCUGAGUAACUAGGUCCAGAGACCACAUCUGAUCUAAGCCAAGUCUUGGGCUAAUUACUUAUAAAUUGUCUGGGGCUCAAUUUUCAAAGGAAGGUUUUGACUACGUAUCACAGACUCAUAAUUUUUUAGAGUUGGAAACAACUGAUCCUGUGUUUCCUAAAGCAUAGUAUGGUUUUCACUGGUGGUAUUUGAGAAGGAUUUAGAUGCUAUACAAAAAGGAUACUAUUUUAAUUUUGUUAUGUACUUAUAUUAACAUGUACUAGAAAAACGUGGUCCAUCAAACCUAUGAUUUCACUGCUUCAAGAUGAGGGUUAAUGUGAGUCAAUAAAAAAUUAUUCAGUAAAUAAUAAUAUGGGUUUUUCUUGGAUUGGGAUGGCAAACACGAAUAAUGGAGUUGGGAAAUUCUGGUUUAUGCUGUUCACUCUGAUGAUUCUUAAAGCCAUAUCUCCUGAAUAGCUCUCCCUCCUAAACUUCAGUUUCAAAAAGCCAGUAGUCUAAUUGACCGCUCUCAGUUAUAUUUAUUUUAUUUAGUUCAAGCCUUCAGUAAUUCUGUCUUUUCUCAUGGCAGGUGCUUCCUAAUUGCCUUUCUUCCACCCUGGCCCCUCUCCACACCACUGCCAGAGGCGUCUCCCUGAAACACAAACAAGAGCGUAUAACUCCCAUGCCCCCAAUCCAUCAAUGGCUUCUAGUGGCUCAGAAUAAAGCUCAGAUUCCUCAACAUCUUACACUAGGCGCAUGAGUCAGCCUUCCACCAUCCCCUCCCACUCUUCUCCCGCAUCUACCUGGGAUUCACUUUUACUGAACUACUGCGCAUGUUGGGGACCUCCCCUCUCCCCGGCCCCUGCACCUUUGCACAGGCUCACUGUCUGCCAUAAACGACUUUUCUCUGCUGUUUCAUCUGACUGAUUCCUACUUAGUCAAGACUCAGCUGACCCCAUCCCCCAUGGUAAGAAAAUGCGCAUAUGUCAAUCAUGAUAUCUAUCACACUAUUUUUUUUUAAUCAGUCAUCAAUUUUAUACACAUCACUGUAUACACGUCAAUCCCAAUCGCCCAAUUCAGCACACCACCAUCCCCACCCCACUGCAGUUUUCCCCCCUUGGUGUCCAUACGUUUGUUCUCUACAUCUGUGUCUCAAUUCUGCCCUGCAACCCGGUUCAUCUGUACCAUUUUUCUAGGUUCCACAUACAUGUGUUAAUAUACGAUAUUUGUUUUUCUCUUUCUGACUUACUUCACUCUGUAUGACAGUCUCUAGAUCCAUCCAUGUCUCAACAAAUGACUCAAUUUCGUUCCUUUUUAUGGCUGAGUAAUAGUCCAUUGUAUAUAUGUACCACAACUUCUUUAUCCGUUCGUCUGUCGAUGGGCAUUUAGGUUGCUUCCAUGACCUGGCUAUUGUAAAUAGUGCUGCAAUGAACAUUCGGGUGCAUGUGUCUUUUUGAAUUACGGUUUUCUCUGGGUAUAUGCCCAGUAGUGGGAUUGCUGGGUCAUAUGGUAAUUCUAUUUUUAGUUUUUUAAGGAACCUCCAUAUUGUUCUCCAUAGUGGCUGUAUCAAUUUACAUUCCCACCAACAGUGCAAGAGGGUUGCCUUUUCUCCACACCCUCUCCAGCAUUUGUUGUUUGUAGAUUUUCUGAUGAUGCCCAUUCUGACUGGUGUGAGGUGAUACCUCAUUGCAGUUUUGAUUUGCAUUUCUCUAAUAAUUAGUGAUGUUGAGCAUCUUUUCAUGUGCUUCGUGGCCGUCUGUAUGUCUUCUUUGGAGAAUCAUACUAUUCUCCACUUGUGGAGUGCGUAACUGGAAACUUUCCAAAUGUUAUACAAGUGUAAUUUCCUUUCUCACUUUUCUCCCUCAAGGUAGAACUGUUAAUAGUUCAGUGUGUUCUCUAGACCUUUUUAUCUGCAUUUACAAACAUAUAUAUAAAUAUUGGAAUCUAUGAAAAAGUUCAGCAGCUUGCUUUUUUUUCAUUUCAUAUCUCAUGGGCAUCUGUGUAUGUCAGGGCUUGAAAAUCCACCACAUUCUUUUUAGCAGUUGCCUUUUCUUUAAGGAGAGAUCAAGGGAAGAGACUGAUUUUCCUGUCUCCAGGGUUCUUUAGGAAUGUUAGAAAAUCUUCAUUUAAUGCAGCAACUUGUCUUUUUUUCCUCCUUAUUUCAUGUCCUUGAAUAAAAUAUCUACACUGUUUUCCCAGAGUAAUUUCAAGCAGGAUGUAGUAACUGACAUCUCUUGUAUUAUUUACCUACACAUUCAUUUAUUUAUGUCAUCAAUCUUUCCCAUCGUAAUGCAGGCUUUUGUCCUUGUGACCCUCUGCCCCUAGGACCCAUUCCUUCAUUUUCUAUAUUUGAAUGAAACAUUGGAAUGUUUCAAGAAUAUUAUUGAAUUCAAUUUGCACAGUAACUCUGUGUGCUAAGCAACAUAGAAUUAUUCCUGUUUUACAAGGAGAAAGUUGAGGCUUAGAGAAAGUUGCCUAACUACAGCGUGGGCAUCCCGUUCUACAAUAUGCCCUGUGUCCACAUCCUCCUACUUGCUUGCUUAGGACUCGCCUUUGUGAUGUCCCAGCAGGUAUGCUCUGAAUUCUUCUUUCCACACCCUCUGACAUUAAAAAAAAAAAAAAAAAAUCUAGUUUGUUUAGUUUUCUUUGGAUGAAUUAAUUUUCACUGAAAAUAUUCACACUAUCAGUGACUUACUGUGUUACCCCUCCCAGAGUCAUUAUCAUAGGAGUUGGUGAAUUAACGUAAACGAACGAGAAACAUGGUAGGAAUUGUUGAAGAAAAUAAUUUUCAUUGGAAUAGACCUUUUGGUACACCCAAACAAUUUUACGUGGAAGAGCCUCCAAAUCCCCAUCUCUUUACGAGGUCACAUCUAUUGCUUAUGUGUUAGGAGGACACAGCUCUAACAAUUUUUUUUUUUUUUUGCAUAUCUUGCUUUAUUUUCUCCACAUUUUUUUCUCUGAUCCAUUCCAGUCAAUAUUUCAAAUAACCCUGAAAGGAAAUUCAGACGUGUCUAAUUUCUUUGAAAAGUCUUCUUCAGAAUAGCUUACAGAGUUUUUGAACUGUUGGUAUUCAUUUUUCAAAACAACCCUUUGUGGAAAUGACCAAAAUAAUUUUCAGAAAAUAAACCACUGGAACCUCAUUACUUUGCAAUUGCCACCUGACUCUUGAGAUCUCACUUGAAUUCUGUGAAUCUGAGAUUUUUAUUGCUAAAUGGC